rnacentral:rRNA from 1 species
AUGGCUCAGAACUAACGCUGGCGGCAUGCCUAACACAUGCAAGUCGAACGAUGCUUUCGGGCAUAGUGGCGCACGGGUGCGUAACGCGUGGGAAUCUGCCCUUUGGUUCGGAAUAACAGUUAGAAAUGACUGCUAAUACCGGAUGAUGACGUCAAGUCCAAAGAUUUAUCGCCAGAGGAUGAGCCCGCGUAGGAUUAGCUACUUGGUGUGGUAAAGGCGCACCAAGGCGACGAUCCUUAGCUGGUCUGAGAGGAUGAUCAGCCACACUGGGACUGAGACACGGCCCAGACUCCUACGGGAGGCAGCAGUGGGGAAUAUUGGACAAUGGGCGCAAGCCUGAUCCAGCAAUCCCGCGUGAGUGAUGAAGGCCUUAGGGUUGUAAAGCUCUUUUACCCGGGAUGAUAAUGACAGUACCGGGAGAAUAAGCCCCGGCUAACUCCGUGCCAGCAGCCGCGGUAAUACGGAGGGGGCUAGCGUUGUUCGGAAUUACUGGGCGUAAAGCGCACGUAGGCGGCUUUGUAAGUUAGAGGUGAAAGCCCGGAGCUCAACUCCAGAACUGCCUUUAAGACUGCAUCGCUUGAAUCCAGGAGAGGUGAGUGGAAUUCCGAGUGUAGAGGUGAAAUUCGUAGAUAUUCGGAAGAACACCAGUGGCGAAGGCGGCUCACUGGACAUGGUAUGACGCUGAGG